GCUACUAGCCAACACUCCUUCAAGCAAACAAUUCAGCAGCAACCUACCUCCAUUCAUUCUUUACUCACCUGUAUUUGUUAAAGUAGCAACCUUAUUUCAGUUCAUCUCAUACAAAUCAACAACAACAGCCAUCAACAACAAACAAUUACAGGUAUAUACUACUAUCUCAGUUUAUUUUCUCAAUUUAUUCAAGCCACAUACACUGUCAUAAUACCCAAGCAUAGAACAUGGAUAUCAACAUGAAUCUUGUUAACAUCAUUCACCUUAGCAACUAGAAGCUUAAACAGGAAACGAGUAUAUAUAUAUGCACACAGGGACUUAGCAAUCGAAAUCAGUUUAUGCUAUAUUUUCUUAUCACACGAGGCAAGACAGGAAAAAUUACUUGAUACAUUAGCAAAAUCACAGUGCCUAGUUUUAAUCUCUAGCAUAACCGAUAUGUAUAUAUAUAGAGAGAUCAAGAGUAUUACAUCUCACUGUUUCAGAAAAGAAAAUAGCAAUAACACUUAUGGGAUUCAUAGAGUAUUAGAUACCACAAGAAUUCCUUUUACACAAAAAUUGGGGAUCGAACUUAGCUUUUGGGGGAAAGGGAUUGUACCUGUUUCAAUAAACGAGGAGGAGGGCGACUGCCCCUUGGCGGUGGCGGUGGCAGCCUCUGGCUUGCUACCUGCCGGACGAAAACAAUGAGGGGAGCACGGAGACCUCGCCGAUUCUUCAGUGGCGGCGACGGCUGAUUUCUGAGGAAGAAGAGCAGGGGCUCGAGUACGGAGCAGCUUCCAACGACGUUACAGGGAGGCGGUAGUUCCCAAUAGAGGAGGCGGAGCGUCGAGCAACAGCCUUACCAAUUUUAGGGCAAAGGCAGCGCGACGCCAACGGCGACUCCCGCCGGUUCACAGAGCAGCGGCAGACGAAGUGCAGCAGGCCGCGACUCCGGCGAAACAGCAGCAGUCGGCACUGACCACCGGACGAACAGCAGCAACUCCAGCCGGCGGCGACUCCAGGCGAAGCAGCAGCCACUCCCAGACGAC
rnacentral:lncRNA from 1 species